rnacentral:lncRNA from 1 species
UGAUAAACUGCUGAGUGACAAAGUAAGCAACCUUCACUCUGCCCUUAGCGGGAUACAAUUGCCAUGGCCCUCACCAGAAUCUGCAGCGCAAGCCUUGCUUAGUAAGUUAGCACUUGUGAAUUUUUGUGCCUAGGAUGUCUAGCUGCAGGAAGAUCUUACUUUAUGGAACUGGAGCAUCAUGUAGAAGUAGAUUGAUCUUCCUGACCUAAUAACACAGGUGUUAGAACGAAGGGUUACGUAGGGUCAGUCCUCUUGGUAGGUCCAGCCAGAACAGAGAGGUACAAGAGGUAAAAUAUGUUGUUAAUUCUCAAGUAUUUAAUCUGCUUUCUUUUGUGUUAAUACAUCAUGGGAAAAGCCAUGUUUCCCAAAUGCCAUCAUAAUUUUCUUAUGUAGGGUGGCUGGUUAAAAUUUGGACCUGGAAAAGCACAAUACCCCUUUAGUGCUUGGUAGGCUUCUCUGCUAGCAGUGACAGUAAAGGAUAUGGCUUUCCUGCUGACUUCAGCGAGAGGUAGGGCUGUUGGAACAGUUUUCCCUGGCUGUGCUUUAGUCAUAUGCAUUUCCAUAUGCGGCAGGGUUAAAAGAUUCAUCGCCCUUCCUGACUCUGCUUCACCCCAGUGUUUGAGAGCAGUGGUGAGGGGCAGCGAGGGAAAAAGGAAGACAUUAAUAACACAACGAGAAGCUGAAACCAAAAGGCCAGCCCGUGCUGCAUGUUCCCACUUCUCGGCAACUGCCUGUCUAAGUACAAUUCAAUAUCUGCAAAUUGCCACGGUGGGUGAGAAAAAAGUAAUGCCCACUACUCAACUGGACAUAGAGGAGAAGAAGGAGGGAGUACGUGUCUGUCCCAUGGUGAUAAUGGAUGCUGCCCAAGAUGGGAUCUGCUGCCACUUGUGGAGGAGUGGUCUGUGGAGAGUACAAGUGGCCCUGGCUUGGCAAGUGAACCCUUCCAGUCUGAUCUGA